rnacentral:rRNA from 1 species
GACGAACCGUGCGAACGUUGUUCGGAUUCACUGGGCUUAAAGGGCGCGUAGGCGGGCGGUCAAGUCAGGGGUGAAAUCUUUCGGCCUAACCGGAAAAGGGCCUCUGAUACUGGCCGUCUCGAGGGAGUGAGGGCAUGCGGAACUUCCGGUGGAGCGGUGAAAUGCGUAGAUAUCGGAAGGAACGCCGGUGGCGAAAGCGGCGUGCUGGACCUCUUCUGACGCUGAGGCGCGAAAGCCAGGGGAGCGAACGGG